rnacentral:ncRNA from 1 species
UAACCCAUGCUGGAAGGCAUGGCUGAACCGUCAGGGGAAGCUUUGGGCAUAGUACCUUGGAGGUCAUGGACUUUGAGGGAAGGCC